rnacentral:rRNA from 1 species
CAAUAGCGUAUAUUUAAGUUGUUGCAGUUAAAAAGCUCGUAGUUGGAUUUCGGUUAAGAGCGACCGGUCCGCCGUUUGGUGUGCACUGGUUGGUUUUAACUUCCUGUAGAGGACGUGCUCUGGGUUUAACGACCUGGACUCGGAGUCUACGUGGUUACUUUGAAAAAAUUAGAGUGUUCAAAGCGGGCUUACGCUUGAAUAUUUCAGCAUGGAAUAACACUAUAGGACUCCUGUCCUAUUUCGUUGGUCUCGGGACGGGAGUAAUGAUUAAGAGGAACAGUUGGGGGCAUUCGUAUUUCAUUGUCAGAGGUGAAAUUCUUGGAUUUAUGAAAGACGAACUUCUGCGAANGNAUUUGGNAAGGAUGUUUNCAUUA